rnacentral:sRNA from 1 species
AUGGCUGUCGUCAGCUCGUGUCGUGAGAUGUUGGGUUAAGUCCCGUAACGAGCGCAACCCUUGUCCCUAGUUGCCAGCACUUCGGGUGGGAACUCUAGGGAGACUGCCGGUGAUAAACCGGAGGAAGGUGGGGAUGACGUCAAGUCAUCAUGGCCCUUAUGGGGAGGGCUACACACGUGCUACAAUGGCCGGUACAGAGGGCUGCGAAGCCGCGAGGUGGAGCGAAUCUCAGAAAACCGGUCGUAGUCCGGAUUGCAGUCUGCAACUCGACUGCAUGAAGCCGGAAUUGCUAGUAAUCGCGGAUCAGAACGCCGCGGUGAAUACGUUCCCGGGCCUUGUACACACCGCCCGUCACACCAUGGGAGUGGGCUGUACCAGAAGUAGGUAGUCUAACCUUCGGGAGGACGCUUACCACGGUGUGGUUCAUGACUGGGGUGAAGUCGUAACAAGGUAGCCCUAGGGGAACCUGGGGCUGGAUCACCUCCUUUAAAGAAACCGGAAUAAAGCGUGAAAGCGCCCGCACAAUCUGCCUAAUCGCCGUAAAGAUAAACCGCGGGUCUGUAGCUCAGUUGGUUAGAGCGCACCCCUGAUAAGGGUGAGGUCGGAAGUUCAAAUCUUCCCAGACCCACCACCUUCGUGCGUGUAGGAGCAAAAAGGUAACAAGGGGCCAUAGCUCAGAUGGGAGAGCACCUGCUUUGCAAGCAGGGGGUCGGCGGUUCGAUCCCGCCUGGCUCCACCAGGCGCUAAACCACGGCGGCAACUACCCGCCGUGGUUUAUCUCCUGGCCGAGACGCCACGGGACGUUCUUUUACAAUUUAGGUAGUAGUGAUGUACGACGGUGAAGUUGGGACAGCGUUUGACGUCCUGACUUUACUGGGUAUGCCAGCAUUUAUUAUGGUAGUAGUUUGACCUCAUUAAGAGCAGUCUUUUUGGGGUUAUAUGAUCAAGCGACUAAGCGCGCAUGGUGGAUGCCUUGGCGGCAAGAGGCGAUGAAGGACGUAGUAGCCUGCGAUAAGCUUCGGGUAGCCGGCAAACAGGCUUUGAUCCGAAGAUUUCCGAAUGGGGAAACCCGG